rnacentral:lncRNA from 1 species
GCGUGGUAGUGGGCAUCAGACGCAUGGGGAAAACUGUGGUGGCAGCCAGGCAUGGCAGAGGCGUGCAGCGCUAGGAGGCUUAGGAGAGCUAGGGUUUUCUGUGAAUUUUUUAGUUUGUGGGUUGUUGUUGUUGUGUUGUUUGGGCUUUAGGUUUUUUUAGUUUUUUUUUGUUUUAAUUGGUAUUUGGGCUGAGGUCUAUUUGGGUUUGUAUUGGUUUUGGGCCCCGGGCAGAAAUUGGGUCUUACAAUGCAGGUUCUGAGUAAAUAGUUGGAAUGCCAGGAGGGAUUAUAUCAGGAAGGAAUGCACUAGAGUGGCAGUUUGAGUUGCGAUAUUAUGCAUGCAAGAGACACCUUAGGAA